CACGAUAGCAAGCAUAGGAAUAUACGUAGUAACCAAGAGGUAGCGGAUAAGGGUUCAGCUGUUGUAGUUUGGGACAGGGGUGAAUGAGGAAAACUAGAUUUAUUGAUGCUGGCAAUUACAUGCAAAUAGAUGUGCUUGGGUUGUAAAGCAAAUAAUGUUUCAAGUUGCAGUGAAGCCCAGAACAAUUUCAGUUUUCAGAGGCUACAAAAAUGGAGCUGAUGCAGAAUAUAGAAUGGACUGCAGUUAUGCUAGAAGAAGUUAUCGCCAACUGUUAAAUGCUUCACAAAGAGAAGGCAUCUGAUCAGGAAAUUGAACAAAAAUGUCAAAAAUUGGGAAGAAAUUUAAUUGAAAGACAAUAUUAUUUUGAAUUAUUAUUAACAUUUAGAGGAUUUAUAUAGUAAUAUUUCUCAGAAACGUUAUUUCUGAAUUAUUCCUGAAUACACUCUCAAAAUCUUUCAUGCUGUUGUGUAGCAAGUAUUAUUUUAAAGUAUAAUAUCCAGCCGUUUAGUGCAUUAUGCCGAAGCAUAAAGCGUUUAAUGCCGUAUAGGCAAAUCUGUAUACGCUUUGCGGUAAGGAACAGGAAACAAUUGGUAUUAACCUUUUUUAGAGGCUUUUAGCCUCCCAUGAUUUUGCCAACCCUGCUACUAUCUCAACAAGUUAGUACCGUUCUCCUUUCCUCAGUCAAUAUCGGUAUGUUAGGAGAGACAACGACAAAGACUAAAAAAUCUGAAUUACAACACUGCUUUUUACAUUAAUACAAUUCUCAGGCAACAGUCAUAACUUAUAAUCUUCUUAUUUGCUUAUCCUAAAAUUUCUUAGUUUCCUUUAUUGUGUCUCUAAGUAUAUUAAUUAUUUUAUCUUGCUAAUUAUUAAUCGUAAUUUUAACUUACCCUCUCCUGGAGCAAAUGCACCUGCAUUGAAAA